AAGCCUAUAAUUUAAUGGUAGAAUGAUUUCUUGAUGAGGAAUUUGUAGAAGUUCAAAUCUUCUUGGGCUUA
rfam:Coprinopsis cinerea okayama7#130 cont3.68 mitochondrial, whole genome shotgun sequence.